UGCUAAGACUGGNUAGGGAAUAAAAAGGCAUCUUUUUAUUUUUAAAAGACCUUUUUCGAAAGGUAUGCUUAAAGAUGAGCUUGCGCCACAUUAGUUUGUUGGUGGGGUAAUGGCCUACCAAGACGAUGAUGUGUAGCUGGACUGAGAGGUCGAACAGCCACAUUGGGACUGAGACACGGCCCAAACUCCUACGGGAGGCAGCAGUAGGGAAUUUUCGGCAAUGGAGGAAACUCUGACCGAGCAACGCCGCGUGAACGAUGAAGUAUUUCGGUAUGUAAAGUUCUUUUAUUGAAGAAGAAAAAAUAGUGGAAAAACUAUCUUGACGUUAUUCAAUGAAUAAGCCCCGGCUAACUAUGUGCCAGCAGCCGCGGUAAGACAUAGGGGGCGAGCGUUAUCCGGAAUUAUUGGGCGUAAAGGGUGCGUAGGCGGUUAGGAAAGUCUAUAAUUUAAUUUCAGUGCUUAACGCUGUCUUGUUAUAGAAACUACCUUGACUAGAGUUAGAUAGAGGCAAGCGGAAUUCCAUGUGUAGCGGUAAAAUGUGUAAAUAUAUGGAGGAACACCAGAAGCGUAGGCGGCUUGCUGGGUCUUGACUGACGCUGAGGCACGAAAGCGUGGGUAGCAAACAGGAUUAGAUACCCUGGUAGUCCACGCCGUAAACGAUGAGUACUAAGUGUCGGGAUAAAACUCGGUACUGAAGUUAACACAUUAAGUACUCCGCCUGAGUAGUACGUACGCAAGUAUGAAACUUAAAGGAAUUGACGGGACUCCGCACAAGCGGUGGAUCAUGUUGUUUAAUUCGAAGAUACACGAAAAAUCUUACCAGGUCUUGACAUGCUCUGCAAAGCUAUAGAAAUAUAGUGGAGGUUAUCAGGGACACAGGUGGUGCAUGGUUGUCGUCAGUUUGUGUCGUGAGAUGUUAGGUUAAGUCCUAAAACGAGCGCAACCCUUGUCGUUAGUUACCAGCACGUAAUGGUGGGCACUUUAACGAGACUGCCAAAUAAACAUUGGAGGAAGGUGAGGAUUACGUCAAAUCAUCAUGCCCCUUAUGAUCUGGGCUACAAACGUGAUACAAUGGCUGUUACAAAGAGUAGCUGAAGCGCGAGUUUUUAGCCAAUCUCAAAAAAGCAGUCUCAGUUCGGAUUGAAGUCUGUAACUCGACUUCAUGAAGUUGGAAUCGCUAGUAAUCGCGAAUCAGCAUGUCGCGGUGAAUACGUUCGCGGGGUUUGUACACACCGCCCGUCAAA
rnacentral:rRNA from 1 species